GUUAGGAAUAUUGGACAAUGGGCGCAAGCCUGAUCCAGCCAUGCCGCGUGAGUGAUGAAGGCCUUCGGGUUGUAAAGCUCUUUAGUCCACGAAUAUAAUGACUGUAGUGGAAGAAUAAGCCCCGGCUAACUUCGUGCCAGCAGCCGCGGUAAUACGAAGGGGGCGAGCGUUAUUCGGAAUCACUGGGCGUAAAGCGUGCGUAGGCUGUUUUGUAAGUCAGAAGUGAAAGCCCAGGGCUUAACCCUGGAAUUGCUUUUGAAACUACAAGACUCGAAUUCGGGAGAGGAUAGCGGAAUUGUCAGUGUAGCAGUGAAAUGCGUAGAUAUUGACAGGAACACCAGUGGCGCAAGCGGCUAUCUGGACCGAUAUUGACGCUGAGGCACGAAAGCGUGGGGAUCAAACAGGAUUAGAUACCCCAGUAGUCC
rnacentral:rRNA from 1 species